rnacentral:rRNA from 1 species
GAUGAACGCUGGCGGCGUGCUUAACACAUGCAAGUCGAACGGAAAGGCUCCUGCUUGCAGGGGUACUCGAGUGGCGAACGGGUGAGUAACACGUGGGUGAUCUGCCCUGCACUUCGGGAUAAGCCUGGGAAACUGGGUCUAAUACCGGAUAGGACCACAUUUUGGAUGGUGUGGUGGAAAGUUUUUCGGUGUGGGAUGAGCUCGCGGCCUAUCAGCUUGUUGGUGGGGUAAUGGCCUACCAAGGCGUCGACGGGUAGCCGGCCUGAGAGGGUGUACGGCCACAAUGGGACUGAGAUACGGCCCAGACUCCUACGGGAGGCAGCAGUGGGGAAUAUUGCACAAUGGGCGCAAGCCUGAUGCAGCGACGCCGCGUGGGGGAUGACGGCCUUCGGGUUGUAAACUCCUUUCGCUAGGGACGAAGCGCAAGUGACGGUACCUGGAGAAGAAGCACCGGCUAACUACGUG